rnacentral:lncRNA from 1 species
CAGGGCUCUCACCCACAACUUCCUCCUGCACAGCUGGCAGAUAUAGGGAACAUGGACCCAACCAUCCUGCUGGCCAGAGGAGCGCCCCUGGGCUUGAGAAGACCAGUACAAAAUGAGGUAAGUGCCUCUCUCCAGGGGCCCAGCAGAAUGAGAGUGAAUUGCUAACUCAGGUGUUUAAAGACCCACACAUCACCUGAGCAUCCCCAAGUGUCGAACACACUAUGUUUGAAUUUUCUGCAUGACUCUUCUUCACUUUCUUCAGAAAACCUGGGGGAAACUGAAGACUUUAUGGAAGAUUCUUCUCAGUUCUGUGGAGAAGAAGGGUGAGGCUAGGGAUAAGUGGAGGGCCAGAGGCAAUGUGAACUUCCAUUUCUGCCCUGGAGUGACAGCACUAAGGUACUUCCCAUAUUACAAGAAUCUGAUUUAUUGAUAACACCAAGGGCUUCAAUCAGAAUUCCACCUGUGUGAGUGACUUAGGUUUAUUUGACCAGGAAUCCUUUCCUUUCCUGUGCUUUAGGGCAAGCACACAGGCAAAAUCCACUGUGCAUUGUUCUUGUACAUCUAAAGUACGGGUAUUGGAGCUGCUUCUUUUGUGUCUGUCUAACUUGUAUUGUUUCCUCAAUGGCUCUAGAAAUAGCUGACCACCUGUACAGAAAUAAUACUGGUCUCCAAGCCUCAGCCAUUGUUUUUAAAAGAGUCCACAACUUGGUGGAGAAUUUACCUAGAGAUUUGCUCUCCAGCCUUGGUUGGUGGUAAACACAAAUAAUAGAUGCAUGAAGAAGGAACUUUCCAGAUUUUCCUGGGUUUUUUUCCUUCUACCUGGGUUUCUAAGAGAAGAUGCUGCUUUGCCCUCUGUUGUCAAGAACCUUCUAUUUUAAAAGUUCCACGUGCUUUUAAAAUGACAUGACUCAGAAAUAUGAUACUGACUUCCUUUGUCUUCACCUAGACUAUAACAGCCUAAAAAAAAAUCAAAUCAAUGCAUUUAACACAUCUAUUUCAUAUGACAGUAAAUGUGGGUUUGGAAUAAAAGUGCAUCUUAUGUAUUUUUUUAAAGAAAUCUUUUUUUGGGGGGCGGGGGUUACUAAUAGGUUUUGCAGGAAGGAGGCAAUUCACAGUCCCUAAAGCACUCUCUCUCUUCUUGGCCCUGUGGGGUUGGCCUUUGAAUAGUCUUAGCUCCCAGGAAUAAAAUACUGAAGCAUAGAUAAGCGGAAAUCUGACCUGAGAAAGAAUAGCAGCUCUGCAGCAUUCCUGGCACUUGUGAGUCUAAUGUGUCUUGCUGGGAGGUUUAGUGUGCACAGAUACUUACAGGUGACAAUUUUGCUGAAACCAAGCCCUGCUUGUUUCUCAUACUCACAGUUCAAAGAGAAAACUGCGUUGAGAAUUGACCACAGCAGCUAGAAAUGCCCACAGAUUCAGUCUCACUUAGUUUCCUAGACAGCCAUUAGGAACAGCUUUAGUUUCAAUAGCCAUUGAGGAAUGCCUCACACUCAACCCCCCUGAAGGAGAUCUCAGGAAGUAAGGCACUCAGAGAGACAGUGGGCGAUUCGUAGGAUGAGAUCAGAGGCCUUGAGACGCUGAGAUCCUGCAGGACCUUAGCUAAGCUGUGGACAACUCUGUUGGCAUUUGAAUAAGUCACCCUGGUUGAUAUCCAACAUCUUUUCCUUAAGCAUUAUUUUCCCCCACAGGAAAAAACAGGUGUUAUUAUUUCCCAACCAUCUUAUGAACUCUGUGUGUGUGUGUGUGUGUGUGUGUCUGUUGGGACUUGAACCCAAGGCUUUGUGCAAUGCUAGGCAAGCAUUUCACCACUGAGCUAUUUCCCAGCCCCUCUAUUGGAUAUUACCCAGUAUACUUUAAUUUCAAUUGUUAAAUUUGAAAUAUAACUAUUAAAUAUAACUAUUUAAUCUGCAGAAUAAGAGACUGUGUGAAUAUAUAUAUGUAUAUAUGUGCAUAUAUAUGCAUAUACAUAUAUAUGAACAAGAGUAGCCCCUGGCAUUAAUCUGAGGACCCUCUCUCAGCAGCACCAACAUUUCAUGUUUGUGGCAGACUAGUAGGGUAUUUAAGUAAGGUGGAUCACAGCUUCUAAAUACCAGAAAAGAAUUUGGCAAGAAGAAAUUUUUAUUAGAGAAUCCAGAAGGGAAAAAAAAAGACUUAACAUUUUAAAAAAUCUAAGCAGGUACCGUGGAACACAUCUAUAAUCCCAGGUACUUGGGAGGCUGAGGCAGGAGGAUAGAAAGUGCUAGGCCAGCCUAGGCACCAUAGCAAGACUCUGAUUCAAAAUGAAAAAUAAAAGGGGCUGGGGAUGUAACCAGUGGUAGAGUACCCCUGGGUUCAAUUCUUCUCCCAGAACAAAUUUAAAAUUAUAAUUAUUUUUCUCAUUACAAAAGUAUUACAUAAAUUGCAAAAAUUAAUAAAUGCAGAGACGUGUAACCAUAAUUCUUCUACCCGAAGGUAGCUGCGAUUAACAUUUGAUGUUUUUGCUUCAGGGUAUAUACACUUUUCACAGCAAGGGGCUCAUGCCGUGUAUGUUGCUUUGUAAAUUACUUCUUUAUUCGAUAACAAAUCUUGAAUUUCUUUCCAAGUCAAAACCAUUUUUCUACAACAACAAUUAAAUAACCAUGAUGUAUUAGAAAUACAUAGCCCUUCUCCUAUAGUUAGACAUUUAGGUUGUUUCCAAUUUUUACUGCUAUAAACAAAAUCACUAUGGACAACUUUGGGGGUAAAUUUUUCUACAAAUUUUUUACUUUUUCCUUGACAUGGAUUUAUGGACCCUAGAAACAGAGUGGAGGAAUUUGGCUGAGACUUUAACUGUAAUACAUUAACUUCCUCCUCUCUUUUCUUCCUCCCUUGUUUAUUUUUCCUUCCUUUUCCAUUUGCAGAUUAUCCAAAGCCCAGAGCAAACAGAGCUCUCAUGGAGCAGUGAGCUCAGGAAAUGCACCAAGGCCCUGAGGAGUGGGCCAAGCCCUGACCCAGUGUGGCCUUCUCUGGGAAUAUCCUGGCAGGACCCUUUCCACUAAUGAACACUUGGCUUCUCCUCGCCUCUUCCCAAUCGAGCUGAGAUUCCUAGAGCCGCAUUGUGAUGGCAGCAACAUCCCUGGUGUGACCUGGAGGUGGAGAUCUCUGUUCUAAAUUCCUCCAGCUGACAAAGUAGAAUGAGCCGGUGGACUUGUUAGGAAGAGUAGCAAGGAAAGGGAAGGACACACAGUCCAUCACAUGAAGUGCUAAGGUCUGUGGUAGGGACUGGGGCCAGUUAGAACUCCAGGGUUUGCAUCCAUUGUCUGAGUCAAGUGAAGCCCACUGCAUGGGGAGUGCCACCUGAAAGACAGGUGGGUCAGCUGGCACUUUCCUGCCGCCUCACAAGUGACAGCGUCCUGGGAAGUCAAGCUGGGGCCACAGACCGGAACUGAAGGAAGUCAGUCAUGUAGUGGAACAUAAGUAAAUCUACAAAAAGGAAAGAGGAAAGGGGAAAAAAUAGGUGGGGUUCAGCACUCCAACCCCAUGGAAGCUGGGUUGCCUGGGGAUCAGGGGCAUUUUACCAAAAAAUACAGAAAAGUUCAUUCCCAGUUGCUCAGUCCAGGCCAGUUUCAUGGUUAAAGCAAGGCUCUGGUCAAAUGUUAACCACUCAGUUAUCCUGGGGGAGGGGGGAUAUAGCCCACCCCCUCAGCUGUCCCUUUUCCCAGCAUUUGGGGAAAAUGAAAGAGUAGGUAAAAUGUGCUUAUUUCCUUUCAUUCUCUAGUGUGGGCAGGGGUUCACAUAAUAGUUGGAAACCAUUUUUAACAGGAAAUCUGAGUGAAUCCAGAAGGGAUUUAUUCACAGAGCUCCCUUGCUACAAAAUGAGUAUUAUUAACCAAAACUUGACUCGUUCCCUCUUCUUUUCUCCUUGUUUAGCUGCCCCCAGCUGCCACCCACCACCGUAGUGGAAAACGAUGGUGGUGAAUAAGAUUUAAAGUUUGAGCCCAGCAGGCUGCCUCCCUAGCCAACAGAAGCCACUGAGAGGAGCUCAUGGCGAAAUGCUAUAUCGCCAUCCAAAAAAAGUCAUUCUAAUUUUCUUAGACUGCAGCUUUGAUCCCAUUUACUGAUGAUGGACUGGGAGAUAUGGUCAGAUGAGUUUGGGGGAGGAUCCAUUAAUCCAGUGUUAUUCCCAUUUAUAAUGUGGUCUUCUGCUAAGUAUUUGUGUUCUAAAAUCUGUUCCCUCUGGGGAUUCUUUCUCUCAGUCCUCUUAGAAAACUGAUGAAAAUAGAUUUGCCAUCCAUUUCCAAAGGGGGUCUUUGCUCCUCUCUGUGGGAGGCCUUUUCUGGGUGGUAGGAACGCACACCUGGCAGAGGAACCCUUUAUUACCUCUCCUCUCACAGAACACAACCCUUCCCUCCGCGAGUCCUUCUCUCUCCCUGUCGCUGAACUUGCUGGACAACCACGAUGCCUCUUUCCUCUGCUCAGGUCACCUAUAUGGAGCUGGCGAGGAUUCCUGAUGGCCGGCAGUGACAGUGGUGGAAUGUGGGGACGAAGAUGACUUCUUCCCAGCGACAGAUUUUCCUUAGCAGAGCUGUGGAGUGUGACAAUGGUGUUUGUGUCCAAACUAUCAAACGCCAUUAUCACACUAAAUAGCUACUGUUAGGCAAUCCUUCCGCUCAAUAAGUAUCUUGGCAUCUGUUCGGUCUGGGAAAGAAGGUUUGUCGUAUACCAGUGCUCUCAAUUUCUGAAUAAAAGUCUGGUGCUCUUGUGCUUAUGUGUCUGUCUGAACGCUGCCUCUCCCCUGCCAUUGUUAAAUAGAUGGUGAUUCUGAUGAUGGAGGAAGAAAAACCAGCUCAAACUUGGUUUCUCCUCUGUCUUCUCACAAUACAGAUGGCUUCUGGCACCAGAUGUGUGGGGAUUUCUUCCCACUAGCAAGUAAGCAAUUAAUUCUGCAGGUGACACCAACUGGGUGUCCUCUAAUCCACUGCAGUUCUGACACUGACUACCUGGAGACGGCACCAGAUUCCACAGAGUGGGAGGCUCAGUCCCCAAGACAGCCCCUUCCCUCCACUUCAGAUGCCAAUCGCAAGCCCCGGGUCAUUUUCCCUCGUGCUUCUGAGCUGCCAGCCUAAAUUAGAGGUCCCAACAACAGUCUCCUUGGGUUCAACUAAUUUGCUUGAGUGGCUCCCAGACUCAGGGAAAUGCUCACUUACAUCUGUUAAGUUGUUGUAAAGGGGACUAAAAAGGACAUAGAGGGAAAGACGCACAGCGCAAGGUAUGAGUGACUGAGCCUCCGUGCCCUCUCCAAGAGUGUCAUCCUCCAGGAACCUCCUCGUGCUCAGCCACCUGGAAACUCUCCAAACGCUAUUUCUUAUUUGUUCGUUUUGGUACCAAGGAUUGAAUCCAGGGGCACUUAAACACCAAGCUCCAUCCCCUGACCCCCCCCCCCUUUUUUUUUCAGAGACAGUGUCUCAGUAAGUGGCUUAGGGCCUCACUAAGUUGCUGAGGCUGGGUUUGAACUCCCAAUCCUCCUGCCUCAGCUUCUCAAGCCGCUGGGAAUACAGGUGUGCACCACUGGCCUGGCCUUUUGGAGUUUAUAAAAACUCUAUUGCGUAGGUAUGAGUGAAGCAUAGGCAAACGUGUCAAAAUGUGAUUGGAUAAAAAGGGGAUGCUCUUUUGCUAAGACUGGGUGGGAAACCCAGCAAGGUUGUCUGUUCCAAUUCUUCUUGGCCUCUGUGUGCAGAACUCCUCCUGCGGGCAUGGAGUAGGACGCCCUGGAAUGAAGAGGUUUUAAUGACCUGCCAUGAGACAAGGUAGGUCAGAAUUAUGAGCCAGGAACUGAGGGCAAAACCCCCAAAAUAUCAUAAUAUCACCAUAGUGAUGAAUUUUCUUAUUUUCCUGGGUUAAUGAAAAGAUUAGAGUCCCCCAGUGUACCCAGCACCAAGUUAGGUAUCUGGUAAUCAUUCAACCCAUGCUUGUUGAGUUGAGUGAAUAGUUUUGGAAGUAUGAGAUGCACAAAACUGAAACUGUGUUAAAUCUGGUUAUGCAAACCACAGGCACAGGGGUGUUAAAGUAAAUAACUCCUUUUCAUCAUAAAAAAAACCCCUUAUAAUAAAUUUGUACGUGGCUUAAAUAACCUUCCAGAAAUUCUAGAAUAUAUUUGAUUUCUACUGAUUUUAACCAAUUACCAGGCUGAUUGCGAAUUUGUAUGCAAGGUCCUUCUUUAAGUUUUGAUGAAUUACCAUCAGAAAAUUACAUAUAAACAGUAAUGUUAGUGGCCACGGAAAACCUGAACAUGUUAAAGCCCUGCAGCUUCUGAAAGAGUUGGCCCAACUGGGUGGUCUGGUUGGGAACACAUUCUCUUUCUGAGAGGCAUCCAGAGUAAGGAGCAGUUUCUCUAUGUGGCUAAGGCCUCCCUCUUGUGACUUGGCUACAUGAACUAAUCUGUUUAAUCAAAUUUGCAGGGUUGGAUCAACCAUCAGAAACAAAUUCAUUCUCUCAAUCAACCAUUUAUUUAUCAAAUAAAUAUGUAUAGAGUGACUCCCACAUGCCCAGCACUUUCCUAGACCCUGGAGAAAGUUUUGAAUUAAAUAUGCCUGACAUUAUUUCCAGAGAUAGACAUUCACUGGCACACAUUCUGUUUGGGAUCUUCUAAUGAUUCCAAUUGCAUUUACUGUGAAACCCAAUGAGCAAGUUGAUUCCAAGUUCCUUGCUAGAAAGCACCACAGAAAUGCAGCCCACACUGUCAAAAAGAGACCCAGACCCUCUCCCCCAUGAAAUAAUUAACACACUUUCCUUUGUAUGUGUGUGUUUUCUGGAGAGAUUACUAAUUGAAUGAGCAUUGCUAGAGGGCUUUACUAUUGCAGGAAAGUUACUCUCAUGCACACUGUUUGAUUUGAUCUAUACAACACAGGGGAAAGAAGGCAAGUUGUGGUCCCCUCCCACAGAGGGCAAACAGAGACUCCGGAUGCUCCGGAACCAUCUGGUCAUGCAACCACAACUCAACAUGGGGCUCUUACAUCUAAAGUUAGGUGCUUUAUGUGUAGCCUGCCUUGGCCUGGUUAUUCCACAAAACCUCAAGCUCCAUGGCUGAGUCUGUGUAGAAACCAGGUCAAUCACACCACUGUUGGAUCGAUACCCUCCACCUCCCACCUGCUUGGACAACGGACUCUGAGGGAAAACCCUAAAUAAGAGAGGAUUGUGUCAUGCGAGGGUUCCCAAUUCAGGGAAAGCCCAACACUGUCAUGGAAAAACGAGAGGAAAGAGAAGGAACAUCUAUGCGGUGGUUUUGAGGUCAGGAAGGAGCAGACAUCUCAGUGACUUGGCCAACUGAGACACCCCUGAAGGCUUCUGACUUUUCAGUCUCCAAAUUGUUCCCAGGUUUGAGGACAAUGUGAGCCCUUGGCCCUAUUGACUCCUCUUCCCUCCACUCAUCCUGAGACUUUGCUCUGAUGGAUAUGAACUGGGAAGAAGAGAAGGGCAAACUUUCUUUUCUACUAGCUUGGCUCAUUUGUUGUCUUAUUACAAUGACUGCCUGGGUUAGUUCUGCAUUCACAUUUGAAGGCCUGUUUUUUCUGUAGAUCUCUAAGGAACAUACAUAGAAGGCCAAAGUUCCACAUCCACACUUUAAAGACACAUUUUACAAAAUCCUGCUGCUCCAAAUCUGUGUCGAUAGGGAAUCCUGCCCCAGACCAGCUUUCUUCUUCUCCCCUGCCCCAGAGAUUUCCAGCCAGUCAUUUCCAAUAAAGUAUUCCUGGGGUCACUUAUUGACUCCAAAUUUGUCAGAUGAAAAAGUCCACGUACUUGGGCAUGCCUUACAUUCACACCGGAAAGGGGGCAGCAGAGCCCAGGCAGCCUCAGUGACUUGUUUUCCUCUCCAGGAGACAGACCACUUGAGUCUGCCUUUGCUUUGUGGAUCACGCUGGUAAGGCCCUAAGAGUCCUUUCAUCUUAGCACAGUGUGUUCCUUGAACAUGACAAUUUCCACUUAGGGCCUGCCCUACUUUUCAUCCAGCGCCAGGGGAGGUUCUGUGAAAUUACGUGGCAGUUACCAUAUGUCAGUGGUUCAUCCACACAUAUUUCUCAACUCUUUUUUUUUAACCUAUAAAAUUCUCCACUUGCAUAAUUUUU